AAAAGCUUUAGUUUUUGGCUAAUCUUAGUUGAUUUAAUUAGGUUUUAAUUAAUAAUAUUCCAAGACAAAACUUUUAAGCCAUAAAUAUUAUAGUUGAAUGUAAUUAAAAUUAGUCCAGGAAAAAUAUGUGCCAGCUUCAGCGGUAAAACAUAUUAAAUUAUAAAAGGGCAAAACUAUGUAAAAUAUCUUAUGGAUGUCUACUCUAUAAAUAACAAAAAUAAAUAAGUUAUAUUAUGGUCUAAUAUUAUAAUAUAAAUUAAUAAACAAAUUUUUAUAAAGAUACCACUAUAAAUUCAGGAAAGAAACUAGGAUUUGAUACCCUAUUAUUCUGAACCUAUUUCUCCAGAGAAUUAAGAAAUUCUUAAAAUUAACAAACCCGGCUGUAUACCCUAAUUUUCAGAGAAAUUUGUCUUUUAAUUCGACAAUCCCCGAAAAACCUUUCUUAAGCUUGUAUAAAACAUCCUUUAUACCGCCGUAUAAGUAUACAUUAAAAAGUAACUAAAAAAGAUAAAAAUAUCACAAACUUCAGGUAAAGGUAAAGAAAAUGCUUAAGUUAAGAUGAAUUGCAUUUAUCUAAUAUAAAUGAAUUUGACUUAAAUUCCCGGCUGAAAUCCCUCAAUGAAUUUGGAUUUGAAAGUAAUUAAACUUUACAAAAGUAUAAUGAAUAUCUUAUGGGUAUGAGUACAUAUCGCCCGUCACUCCCCUUUAAAUGGGGGAUAAGUCGUAACAUAGUAAAUUUACUGGAAAGUGAAUUUUGAGAACU
rnacentral:ncRNA from 1 species